rnacentral:rRNA from 1 species
CGGAAGGCAGCAGUGAGGAAUAUUGGUCAAUGGACGAGAGUCUGAACCAGCCAAGUAGCGUGCAGGAUGACGGCCCUAUGGGUUGUAAACUGCUUUUGUACGGGAAUAAAGUGACCUACGUGUAGGUUUUUGCAUGUACCGUAAGAAUAAGGACCGGCUAAUUCCGUGCCAGCAGCCGCGGUAAUACGGAAGGUUCGGGCGUUAUCCGGAUUUAUUGGGUUUAAAGGGAGCGUAGGCCGUGCUUUAAGCGUGUUGUGUAAUGUAGGCGCCCAACGUCUGCACUGCAGCGCGAACUGGAGCACUUGAGUACGCAGGAAGUAGGCGGAAUUCGUCGUGUAGCGGUGAAAUGCUUAGAUAUGACGAAGAACUCCGAUUGGGAAGCCAGCUUACUGUAGCGCCACUGACGCUGAUGCUCGAAAGCGUGGGUAUCGAACAGGAUUAGAUACCCUGGUA